ACUCCUACGGGAGGCAGCAGUAGGGAAUAUUGGGCAAUGGGCGGAAGCCUGACCCAGCCAUGCCGCGUGAAGGAAGACGGCCUUCUGGGUUGUAAACUUCUUUUAUACAGGAAGAAAAAGGCCAUGCGUGGCCAAUUGACGGUACUGUAUGAAUAAGCACCGGCUAACUCCGUGCCAGCAGCCGCGGUAAUACGGAGGGUGCAAGCGUUGUCCGGAUUUAUUGGGUUUAAAGGGUGCGUAGGCGGUACGUUAAGUCAGUGGUGAAAUCCCGCAGCUCAACUGCGGAACUGCCAUUGAUACUGGCGUACUUGAGUACAGACGAGGUAGGCGGAAUUUAUGGUGUAGCGGUGAAAUGCAUAGAUACCAUAAAGAACACCGAUAGCGAAGGCAGCUUACUAGACUGUGACUGACGCUCAGGCACGAAAGCGUGGGGAGCGAACAGGAUUAGAUACCCUGGUAGGAUAGCG
rnacentral:rRNA from 1 species